AAAAACUCCCUAGAAUGGUAGGAUCCAAGGAAGAAACCUAGAGAGGAACCAGGCUCUGAGGGGUGGCCAUCGAACCAACUUGACACGAUUGUGGGAAGAAUCUGGAGUCAUCAUGGACCAGCAUCCCUGUGGAACAUUUGACCACUUGUAGAGCCCAUUCACCCAAACACUGAGGCUGUUCUGAGGGCAAAAGGGGAGGGGGGAGUGCAACUCAAUAUUAGUAAGGUAUUCCUACUGUUUGGUUUAGCAUAUGUUUUACUCAUUGUAAGUAAGAAUUGGUUCUUGACUAACUUGUCUAGUGAAAUAAAGGUUAAAUAAAUAAAACAUAAAAUACUCCAGCAGCAACCCGCUGAGGAGCUGCAGGAGAAAUCCAUCUCAAAAUCGUCUCUGUAUGCUGUGCACGUGUGAUAGCUGUGUUGGAUACCUAAGAUACAUGAUGACUUGUGAAAAUACACACAGGACAAUUUAAUUCCCCUAAAUGAUGUACAUUAACCCAUGAGAGGACUAUGUUUCAUGGAGGCAGACUGGACUGAAUGUUGCUGACCUCUGUUGAAUGCGCGUGACGGGCAGUGGACUAAGAGGAGAGUCUGGCAGGAUCCCAACUAUCAGAGGCAGAGGAUGUGAUCUUUCGGGCUGCUGCUGCUGAUGACAACAGCAAGCAGCCAGGCAACAACCCAUACUGUACUGUUCCAUAGAGAAGUCAGCCAGAGUUGGGAUCAAGAUUGACGUGGGCCAUCAUUCAAAGAAAGAGAUGCCUGCCUGGCAAACCAGUGCAUAUUUCCAAACUAUGUAUGUUUGCAUUAACUGAUUAA